UACGUAGGGUGCAAGCGUUAAUCGGAAUUACUGGGCGUAAAGCGUGCGCAGGCGGUUUUGUAAGACUGUCGUGAAAUCCCCGGGUUUAACCUGGGAAUGGCGAUGGUGACUGCAAGGCUAGAGUUUGGCAGAGGGGGGUAGAAUUCCACGUGUAGCAGUGAAAUGCGUAGAUAUGUGGAGGAACACCGAUGGCGAAGGCAGCCCCCUGGGUCAAAACUGACGCUCAUGCACGAAAGCGUGGGGAGCAAACAGGAUU
rnacentral:rRNA from 1 species